rnacentral:rRNA from 1 species
AUUGAACGCUGGCGGAAUGCUUUACACAUGCAAGUCGAACGGCAGCACGGGGGCAACCCUGGUGGCGAGUGGCGAACGGGUGAGUAAUACAUCGGAACGUGCCCGGUCGUGGGGGAUAACGUAGCGAAAGUUACGCUAAUACCGCAUACGAUCUGAGGAUGAAAGCGGGGGACCUUCGGGCCUCGCGCGAUCGGAGCGGCCGAUGUCAGAUUAGGUAGUUGGUGGGGUAAAGGCCUAACAAGCCGACGAUCUGUAGCUGGUCUGAGAGGACGACCAGCCACCCUGGGACUGAGACACGGCCCAGACUCCUACGGGAGGCCGCAGUGGGGAAUUUUGGACAAUGGGCGAAAGCCUGAUCCAGCCAUUCCGCGUGCAGGACGAAGGCCUUCGGGUUGUAAACUGCUUUUGUAUGGAAGGAAAAGGAUCUGGCUAAUACCUGGGGCUCAUGACGGUACCGUAAGAAUAAGCACCGGCUAACUACGUG